AGCUUUGCGCAGUGGCAGUAUCGUAGCCAAUGAGGUUUAUCCGAGGCGCGAUUAUUGCUAAUUGAAAAACAGCCAAAGCAUGUGGGAAAUAUUGGAGAAAUAGGAAAUGUCCCUCCUAUU
rnacentral:snRNA from 1 species